CAGGUAAGGAGUCCUGGCCUCUCUCCCACCCUGUGAUGUGCAUAUAGGGCUGUGCGUGUCCCUGUGCGGCCGAGGAAGUCUCUUGGAUUGUGAGGGAGCCCGAGGUCCCCCAGAUACCUGGGGUAAAGUAAAGUGGUGUCUCCAGCUCCCAGGUCAGUGCCUGGCACUUACUGCGUGUUCAGUAAAUAUUCGUUACGUCUAUGAAGGAAAGAAUGAAUCAAAAAGACAGUGACUGUGGCUGGAACGGAGGAUGUGAAGCAGUGUGGUCUGAGAUGAGGCAGCGGUCAGGCCCUGCAGAGGCUUGAGUCUAAGAGGGGCUGUGGAACCAACAUCGCCACAGGACCGACAGUGAUGGAGCAUUUACUACAAAACAGGUCUUGUGCUAAGCUCUUCCUGUGCAGCAUCUCCAUGAGUCCUCAAAACAUCUCCUUAAGUUCCCCUGAGAGGGGAGAAGAAGGGAGGCCUGUUUCCACCAAGGUCACAUCUGUGCACUGACAACCCCCCGCCACCUUCAGGAUCACUGCACUCCUCUCUCAACCAUCCAAGGCACCUCUCAGGGGUGAAAGGAACCCAGAACCUCUGUAUACCCAGGAUGCUACUCACCCAGGGGCUCAUUCAGUUCUAGGAGAUGGGUGCUGGGAUCCUGCUGGCUCCCUGGGGCUGGUCCUCCUGUCAGAAGGAAACUCUGCAGGACAGAAACAAAGCUGCCACCACCAUCAUCACCAUCACCAUCAUCAUCAUCAUCAAUAUCCGAGGAGGCAGGAUGGUGCAGUGGUUAAGGACACUGUGGGCUUCAGCAGUGGCUUAUCAGCCAUGUGACUUUGGGCAAAUCACUGUCCCAGACCUCCUCUGUGUGUCCCUCCAGAACCUCAUUCUCCCCUUCUUCUGUGCCCUGGCAGGCUGACCUGGGUGUGUGCACUCCAUCAAUGCACAGCCUUGCUCUGUGUGUUCCUGUUGGGUUCACGUAAUGGGAGAUACCAGCUGGCAGGAGAAGGAAGAGGAGGGGCAUCGGAUCUUCUAGCUGCUUCCCUGCUGGGUUGUCGUGGGUUGGGUGUGCCCCUCCAUGGAAGGCUUCAGCUCUUAAAAGGUGGACCCUACUCUGUCCAGGAUCCAGUAUCUACCCCUGCCCUGUGCCUUCAGCCCAGGGAGGGUGCCCGCUCCCCAUGUUGCAAGCCCCAGGGCGCUGCACCAGCUCUUGUUGAUUCCUACAUGCUGCCCACACAUUAGCCAACAGUCCGUUAUUAAAUUCUCCUUGAGCUGGCCUGGUGGUGCAAGCAGUUAAGUGCACAUGCUCCGCUUUGGCGGCCCGGGGUUCGCAGGUUUGGAUCCUGGGUGCACACUGAUGCACCGCUUGUCAAGCCAUGCCGUGGCAGCGUCCCAUAUAAAGUGGAGGAAGAUGGGCACUGAUGUUAGCUCAGGGCCAAUCUUCCUCAGCAAAAAAAAAAAAAAAAAAAAAUUCUCAUCACCCCAUUUGAGCAUGCUAUCUGUUUCCUGCCCAGACUCCAAUUGAUACAGUUGCUUAACCUCUCAUGUGUCAAUGUAUAUAAUAAUAAUAAUAUUUCAAGAGUGGUUGUGGGGAUUAAAUAAUUUAAUCAUACAAGGCACUUGGUGCAGCAGUAUCUGACAUGUGGUAGACACUCAAUAAAUACAAGCUGUUGACAUUAUCAACAACACCCCUCGUGUUCAAACAGCCCUGUUCAGAGUGAGGAACCAGAGAUGCUGCUCUGGUUUGGUUUGUUUUUAUUCCAGCAUCUAUCACCUGCCCGCAGAGGAUCAGCUAAGGGCCUGAUUUCGUUGGAUCUUGUGGCCGUCCUGUGAAAUGUAACU